UACAGGGGGUGCAAACGUUGCUCGGAAUUGUUGGGCGUAAAGCGCACGUAGGCGGUUUGUUAUGUCGGAUGUGAAAGCCCUUGGCUCAACUGAGGAAGUGCAUCCGAAACUGGCAAGCUAGAGUAUGUAAGAGGGUCGCGGAAUUCCCGGUGUAGAGGUGAAAUUCGUAGAUAUCGGGAGGAACACCGGUGGCGAAGGCGGCGACCUGGGACAAUACUGACGCUGAGGUGCGAAAGCGUGGGGAG
rnacentral:rRNA from 1 species